rnacentral:rRNA from 1 species
GACGAACGCUGGCGGCGCUCCUAACACAUGCAAGUCGAACGAGCGAGAGAGAGCUUGCCUUCUCGAGCGAGUGGCGAACGGGUGAGUAACGCGUGAGGAACCUGCCUCAAAGAGGGGGACAACAGUUGGAAACGACUGCUAAUACCGCAUAAGCCCACAGGUCGGCAUCGACCAGAGGGAAAAGGAGCAAUCCGCUUUGAGAUGGCCUCGCGUCCGAUUAGCUAGUUGGUGAGGUAACGGCCCACCAAGGCGACGAUCGGUAGCCGGACUGAGAGGUUGAACGGCCACAUUGGGACUGAGACACGGCCCAGACUCCUACGGGAGGCAGCAGUGGGGAAUAUUGCACAAUGGGGGAAACCCUGAUGCAGCGACGCCGCGUGGAGGAAGAAGGUCUUCGGAUUGUAAACUCCUGUUGUUGAGGAAGAUGAUGACGGUACUCAACAAGGAAGUGACGGCUAACUACGUGCCAGCAGCCGCGGUAAAACGUAGGUCACAAGCGCUGUCCGGAAUUACUGGGUGUAAAGGGAGCGCAGGCGGGAAGACAAGUUGGAAGUGAAAUCUAUGGGCUCAACCCAUAAACUGCUUUCAAAACUGUUUUUCUUGAGUAGUGCAGAGGUAGGCGGAAUUCCCGGUGUAGCGGUGGAAUGCGUAGAUAUCGGGAGGAACACCAGUGGCGAAGGCGGCCUACUGGGCACCAACUGACGCUGAGGCUCGAAAGUGUGGGUAGCAAACAGG